AUUGACCGCUGGCGGCAGGCUUAACACAUGCAAGUCGAGCGAGCGGCGGACGGGUGAGUAAUGUCUGGGAAACUGCCUGAUGGAGGGGGAUAACUACUGGAAACGGUCGCUAAUACCGCAUACCAUCAGAUGUGCCCAGAUGGGCUUAGCUAGUAGGUGGGGUAAUGGCUAACCUAGGCGACGAUCCAUAGCUGGUCUGAGAGGAUGACCAGCCACACUGGAACUGAGACACGGUCAAGACUCCUACGGGAGGCAGCAGUGGGGAAUAUUGCUCAAGGGGCGCAAGCCUGAUGCAGCCAUGCCGCGUGUGUGAAGAAUGCCUUCGGGUUGUAAAGCACUUUCAGCGAGGAGGCGUUACUCGCAGAAGAAGCACGGGCUAACUCCGUGCCAGCAGCCGCGGUAAUUC
rnacentral:rRNA from 1 species